AUUGAACGCUGGCGGCAGGCCUAACACAUGCAAGUCGAGCGAGCGGCGGACGGGUGAGGAAUGUCUGGGAACCUGGCUGAUGGAGGGGGAUAACUACUGGAAACGGUAGCAAAUACAGCAUACCAUACGAUGUGGCCAGGUGGGAUUAGCUAGUGGGUGGGGUAAUGGCUCACCUAGGCGACGAUCCCUAACUGGUCUGAGAGGAUGACCAGCCACACUGGAACUGAGACACGGUCCAGACUCCUACGGGAGGCAGCAUUGGGGAAUAUUGCACAAUGGGUGCAAGCCUGAUGCAGCCAUGCCGCGUGUGUGAAGAAGGCCUUCGGAUUGUAAAGCACUUUCAGCGGGGAGGCGUUACCCACAGAAGAAGCACCGGCUAACUCCGUGCCAGCAGCCGCGGUAAUAC
rnacentral:rRNA from 1 species